rnacentral:rRNA from 1 species
UACGUAGGGGCCUAGCGUUGUCCGGAUUUAUUGGGCGUAAAGAGCUCGUAGGCGGUUUGGUAAGUCAGGUGUGAAAUCUCCACGCUCAACGUGGAGGGGCCACCUGAUACUGCCGUGACUUGAGUCCGGUAGGGGAGUGUGGAAUUCCCGGUGUAGCGGUGAGAUGCGCAGAUAUCGGGAGGAACACCAGUGGCGAAGGCGGCACUCUGGGCCGGAACUGACGCUGAGGAGCGAAAGCGUGGGGAGCAAACAGG